AUGUAUCGUCACGAGCCGCAGGGUUUAAUUUGGGUUUGUUUGUGUAUGUUUUUUUUUGUUUUAUUGUAUGUUUUAGCCGUGAUUCACAUCCACUUCCAUUAUAAGACUGAUAGACUGCAAUGGUUUGAGCUAAAAAUCUUGGUUUGUGUUCUACUGAAGAAACAAAGUCCCCUACAUUUUGGAUGCCCUGGGGGUAAGCAGAUAAACAUCAAAGUUUCAUUUUUGGGAGAACUAUCCCUUAAAGGUACAAUGUACCAUAGAUCAAAGUACUGUCUUUACUUCAGUGUGUGUAAAGCGAUGCACAAAUUAAUGAAUGGCUCAACAUUUUAUUACUGUAGUUUCAAACUAAUCAUGACUGUGCAGCAUCAUAAUGAGACAUUUGGAAUGGAUGGUCACAGGAAGUUGUCAGCUGAGCCCAAAUAUUGAACUUCAAAAAUCACAGGAUGUGUUCUGAGAGAGAGAGAAAAGAACCAAAACAGGUCAGUGCUAUUCCUGAAUGUACGUCCCUGGAGAGAGAAAUGCGUUCUUGGUGACGGCAGCCUGGUUUCUUACAUGCACACACAUUCAUCUUUGCUUCCAUUAUCUCACAAACCCUUCAAACACACCCAGGUCUGCCCACUCUAAUACCACUGGCUUUUUGAAACAGUUGAGAAGAGCUCGAAAAUCUACAGAACUUGCAUAUCAAUUCACUGAAAAAGUUUAGUUGUAACUUAAUUUUUUUUUUUUAGGUAGUACAUCUCUGAGGUCACAAUGAGGAAACACCUCCUCAACCUCUGGUUGCAGGAUUAGGAGCAGCUCACUUCCUGUUCUGAAAACUCCCUUCCUGUUCACACACAAGCUCCAAAAAAACUAUUAUAUUUGUUAAAUUAAGAGAUUGCAGCCCUCAUAAAUCACACAGCUGCAUCUGAGAGUAAAACACUGUUAAACCAAAGCAGCGUCUUUUUAAUAUGUUUUAUACUAUCAAAGUAUUUAUUAAUAAUUUGAGUUAGCUUUUAUACAUUCAGUUUUCAUUAUUUUAUUUUAUUUCAGCUUUGUUUCAAUUAAUGUAAACUUUUUUAAAUUUUAGAUUUAGUAAACAAUAACUACAGUGAGUGUCUGACACUGAUUUUACUAGCUUUAGUCAUCAAGGGAGGUGGUUUUUAAACAAAUAUCAAUCACAUCAAUCUUAAAAUGACGAGCUGUGUCAAUCAAUACAGGUAAGUGAGGAUGUGGAUUGUUUGUAGAAUCGAAAAGUCAAUUAUGAAAAUAGUUCUGCACAACCCUAACACCCACAGAAUCAAAGACUAGUUGAGUCAAGCACUGCACUGAAUCAGCAGGAGUUAAUCAGAAGAAAAUGAGUGGGUUUCAUUAUGAUUGAUAAGAAUCUAUUACAGCUCGAUACAACCUGGAUAUGGAAAGUGAAUUAGAUUUAAAUUGGAUUCAGGAGGGGGUUCAGUCCUUCUGCUUCAAAGAUUUCCAUAAGUGAUCAUCCACUAGAAAUAGACACACACACACGCACACACACACACACACUCUCUCUCUCUCUCUCUCUCUCUAAACAGGGCCCUGGAGAGCGUUUUGGGGUGUGAAGUGAACGAACAGAUACUUUAAAUGCUUUCAAUUGACCUUGAGCCACAAGAGCUGUGUAGUGAAGGAUCUGUAAUACAGCUGGCCACCAUACUGUAUAUCCAUGAUAGAUUUGCGACAGUUUGGCUGGUGAUAACAAAUUAAGCAACACCGAGAACUUCUAAUGUGCUUUUAAUUUGGCCAUUAAGCUUCCUGAAGUGUCAAUAAACUAGUUUCUAGUUCCCUCUGUCUCCCAGGAAUGUGAGCAUAGCUUUAAAUGGAGGUGGUGAAUUUGUCUCAAUCAUUGCCAAAAAUCAAAAACUGUCAAUCAUUUAUGCAUAUCAUAGGCUGCAUUUAUUUGAUCUAAAAUAGUUCGAUUUACCGUUUUUUUUUUUUUUUUUUACUGUUACUUUUGAUCAAUUUAAUGCAUUCUUUUGGAACAGAACACAUUCUUAAACUAAAAAAAAAAAAAGAAUAAAAGAAAAAAAGACUACUGACCCCAAACUUCCAAAUGGUAGUGGAAAAUCUACAGAAAAAUACAAUUACAGAAAAUUAAUAAAUAAAAACAGGGAGAAAAAGAUACACUGACAUCAAAAGAUAUAUUGUUAAAAGUCUAUAUUGCCCAGGCUGUGUGCUAGGGCGCGUCUCCUCCUGGCACUAUCUCUAUAAAGCCUGCAGUCAUCUGUCAGUCUGCCUGGUCACUGAGGGGACACUGUAACGUUUGAACCGAGUAACUCUCCCUCUGUCUCUAUCUUGCUCACACAAAGGCCUCAGACAGGUUGGGUACAUGAGAAUAAUGAAAUGGUGCUGAGUGAUGCCCGCUGGCCUGAUUCCUGAGUCCUUAGGAAGUAACGGCUGAUGUGAGCACAGGCGAGAGUGUGUCUGGAGGAUGAUGUGAAUAUAUGAUGCCUGCAGUGGGAGCCGCAGUACUCAGAGCUCUGUGAAACAUGUGUCUGAGCCUCAUAGGCAAGUUGUAAAAUCACUCUGCAGCACUCGGUCUCUGCCUAAAGCUCCAACCAACUUGCACAAUGACCCUGUUUACUAGGGAUAAGCAAAAUGACUUUUCUAAAUGAAAUAGUUGGGUUAGCCGUCUGACCUGGAAAUAUGGCUGUUACGGUGGGAGAUUUUCACUACAUGAUUAUUGUGGUUUAAAGAAUUCACGAUACUGAUAUUACUGCGAUAUCUAUAGAAAUGUUAAAAAAAUAAAAUGGCAUCAACCAAAAUCAUAUUUAACUGUUUAUUUUGGGUUUUUCUUUUUUUGAGAAAUUAAAUCACACUCAAAAUAUGGCAGAGACAGAGUAUGUAACUGUGACUGUAACAAAAGUGCACAAAAAUACCUUACUGUUAACAUUUUCUGUAGAGUGUCUCGCUUUCAUCUGUCAUCUCCUCUGAAAUGAUUUUGUGUGGCAUUGCUCACUACACAGUACAUCAUUGCAGCCUUCAUUUUUCCAUCUUAUAACCGGUGUUAACCAGCGAUAAUAAGCAAUAUCCCCACCUACUAUAUUGAAAUGUGUUAUGUGUAGCACUAACAUUAUAUCAAUAUUUCAUUCUUUAAAUAUCACAAUUAUCGUCAAUACCAGUAUAUUGUGACACCUCGAGACCUGUAUAAUUAAGCCCCCUUCACAAAGGAGGAUAACUAAUAACUAUAUUAGCAUCCACACCAACAGCCGUUUUGACAUAACUGCUGCUUUAAACGCUUGAGUUUCUUAAAGUGGGGUGGAUUCUCACCCUAAACGGGUGAGUUUACGAUGUAUUUUUGCAUUCAAAAACAGAUUGACAGAGUACAACUGAACAGAAUACAGGUCUCCUAUUUACAAAUUAUUGAGGGACUAUUUUUUUUCCAUAUGCUUUGUUAAAACCGAAACACUUCUGGCAAACUAAACACACACACACACACACACACAAAGAUAAACUAGUAAGUGAUCAGAAAUUGAUGUUUAAGAAUAAAAAUUAAAGCACUGAGGGCAAUGUACAAUGAACAAAACACAAUGAACCUUGAUGUAACAACUGAUCACAUUAUUUUCAGCAGGAAUCUCAUUGCUCUGUAUGUAUCCGAGGGAAUUUCACUCAGUACGAUUAUGAACAGGUAAAGCAGAUAAAUCUCUCUCUCCAGGAAAUCUGACUGGAGCUUCAAUAUACUCAAACCCACUGGAGCACAUUAGAAAUAUUUAAUGGGCUAUAAGUAUUUAUUUAAUAAGGUGAAGCUCUGCCAUCAAUUCACAGCUAAUCUCACAAUUAAUGACCUGUAGAGAUCAUCAGGGGGUCCACUGGGCCUUUAAGACUGAGACACCUCACACAAACCCAGUGGAGCACACACUUAUUCUUUUGCAACUGGAUCAAAAGACACACAAAUUAAAAUGCAGGCAAAACUGAAUUUAACCAGGAGGACUUUGGAAAGUACCUGCCGAUUUGUGUCCUCAAUGAUCCUGUGAGGGGGUCAAACUCCAACCAAAAACUCACCGACUCCACAUUUCUUAUCUUUGUCUUACUCCCAUUACUUUUUGAUUGAACCACCAAACCACUUUCAGAUAAGGAGCAUCCCUUGAUGUGGUUUUCUAGUAGGUGAUGGUCUGAAUCAGCCAACACAGCCACUGCAGAUCCGGCAAAACAGCAUCAUAGUUUUAUAAGUAAAACAUUGCCAAGUUUGGUUUUAUAAACAUUGCCGCAAGUGUCAAAAUUUUGGCAAGUUCCAUGGGAGGAUAUCUAAAAAAGAGGAUCCUUCAGUUUGUGUUGAGUAUGUCAUUAUUCUUAACCUUCAUAACCUAAAACCUGAAUCACUUUUAGGGUUGUGCAAUGUCUUCAAAAUUGGCAUCGGACGAUGUCUACAGUGAAACAUUGCGAUGGACGAUGACAUCAGGGAAGGGGGUGGUGGGGUUGCUAACGGUUGCCUGUUACACUACAGUACAUAAAAUUUCACUUACCACAUAAACAGAGUAAGGAGAGAUCAUUGAGGACAAUGGUGAAUGAUUAACAGAUCCUGAGCACCACUGACAAACAUCUAAUCUUUGUAAAAGGGGGUCACGAUGUACAGCUCAACAUCGUGAUGUCUAUCAGCCAUCGGCAAUGGACGAUGGCAUCGUCUAUCGGCCCAACCCUAAAUCACAUCAUCAUAAAGAAGCUUCUGAAAUCCUAAAAGUCUAUUAGUGAUAAUACCUGCGUAAAUACACAGUGAA
rnacentral:lncRNA from 1 species